rnacentral:tRNA from 1 species
AGCUCAGUCGGUAAAGAAUCUGCCUGCAAUGCAGGAGACCCAGGUUCGAUCCCUGG